UCCCUGGUGGCUCAGAUGGUAAAGCAUCUGCCUAUAACGCGGGAGACCUGGGUUCAAUCCCUGGGUUGGGAA
rfam:TPA: Bos taurus chromosome 3, whole genome shotgun sequence.